rnacentral:tRNA from 1 species
CUUUAGUUAACUUAAAUUAUAAAGUAUUAGACUCUUAAUCUAAUUAUAGUGGUUAAAUUCUACUACUAAAGA